UAGCAGGACCGGCUUUUUUUUCUUGUUUUCAGUAGCGAGCGAUGUUUAUGAUUGUGCCAGAGCACAUUUUGAACAGCACUAUGGGAAUUUCGGAUUUUACACAGCUGGUUGGAUGUUACACUCUGGAAAUGGAAGGAAGGAGAAGAUCAUGUUGUGAAGACACCCAGACGCUGUCCACAUGGCUGGAAGAUGUACUGCAAUCGAUGCUUCCUCUAUCUUUCCCAACCCCGGUCUUGGGCUCAAGUUCAGAAUUAUAUUUAGACUUGGAUCGAUGGAACAAAUUUCAGAUAUGCAAACUGGUGUCAUGGAAAACCGACCAAAAAUUAUGGCCACUGCCUGGAGAUGAAUUUUUCAGCAAAAAAAGUCUUGGAAUGGUCGGUUCUGUUCCUGCCUCCGCCCAUCUGUCUGCGUCAAGAAUAUCUGGUGAUUCCUGACCUCAUACGAAGGCAUGGUGCACUUGGCAAAGAAGCAAACUGUCUCAUAUAUCGUCC
ensembl:lncRNA